UACAGAGGGGGCAAGCGUUAUUCGGAAUUAUUGGGCGUAAAGGGCGCGUAGGCGGCUUGGCAAGUGGAUGGUGAAAUCCCUCGGCUUAACCGAGGAACUGCCAUCCAGACUGCUUUGCUUGAGGCCGGGAGAGGUGAGUGGAAUUCCCAGUGUAGCGGUGAAAUGCGUAGAUAUUGGGAGGAACACCAGUGGCGAAGGCGGCUCACUGGACCGGUACUGACGCUGAGGCGCGAAAGCGUGGGGAGCAAACAGGG
rnacentral:rRNA from 1 species